rnacentral:rRNA from 1 species
GAUGAACGCUGGCGGCGUGCUUAACACAUGCAAGUCGAACGAGAAGUGAAGACGGAAACCUUCGGGCGGAAGGCUUUAUUUCGAGUGGCGGACGGGUGAGUAACGCGUGGGUAACCUGCCUCAUACAGGGGGAUAACAGUUGGAAACGACUGUUAAUACCGCAUAAGACCACAGCACCGCAUGGUGCGGGGGUAAAAACUCCGGUGGUAUGAGAUGGACCCGCGUUCGAUUAGCCAGUUGGCGGGGUAACGGCCCACCAAAGCGACGAUCGAUAGCCGAUCUGAGAGGAUGACCGGCCACAUUGGGACUGAGACACGGCCCAAACUCCUACGGGAGGCAGCAGUGGGGAAUAAUGCAAAAUGGGGGAAACCCUGAUGCAGCGACGCCGCGUGAGUGAAGAAGUAUUUCGGUAUGUAAAGCUCUAUCAGCAGGGAAGAAAAUGACGGUACCUGAGUAAGAAGCCCCGGCUAACUACGUG